GACGAACGCUGGCGGCGUGCUUAACACAUGCCAGUCGAACGGAAAGGCCCUGCUUUUGUGGGGUGCUCGAGUGGCGAACGGGUGAGUAACACGUGAGUAACCUGCCCUUGACUUUGGGAUAACUUCAGGAAACUGGGGCUAAUACCGGAUAGGAGCUCCUGCUGCAUGGUGGGGGUUGGAAAGUUUCGGCGGUUGGGGAUGGACUCGCGGCUUAUCAGCUUGUUGGUGGGGUAGUGGCUUACCAAGGCUUUGACGGGUAGCCGGCCUGGGAGGGUGACCGGCCACAUUGGGACUGAGAUAAGGCCCAGACUCCUACGGGAGGCAGCAGUGGGGAAUAUUGCACAAUGGGCGGAAGCCUGAUGCAGCAACGCCGCGUGCGGGAUGACGGCCUUCGGGUUGUAAACCGCUUUCGCCUGUGACGAAGCGUGAGUGACGGUAAUGGGUAAAGAAGCACCGGCUAACUACGUG
rnacentral:rRNA from 1 species